UGCGCAGGCGGUUGAGUAAGACAGAUGUGAAAUCCCCGAGCUUAACUCGGGAAUGGCAUAUGUGACUGCUCGACUAGAGUGUGUCAGAGGGGGUAGAAUUCCACGUGUAGCAGUGAAAUGCGUAGAGAUGUGGAGGAAUACCGAUGGCGAAGGCAGCCCCCUGGGAUAACACUGACGUUCAUGCUCGAAAGCGUGGUAGCAAACA
rnacentral:rRNA from 1 species